rnacentral:tRNA from 1 species
GUGGGUGUAGCUCAGUCCGGUUAGAGCACUUGAUUGUGGUUCAAGAUGCCGGGGGUUCAAAUCCCCUCACUCACCCCA